rnacentral:rRNA from 1 species
GAUGAACGCUGGCGGCGUGCCUAAUACAUGCAAGUCGAGCGAACGGACGAGAAGCUUGCUUCUCUGAUGUUAGCGGCGGACGGGUGAGUAACACGUGGAUAACCUACCUAUAAGACUGGGAUAACUUCGGGAAACCGGAGCUAAUACCGGAUAAUAUUUUGAACCGCAUGGUUCAAAAGUGAAAGACGGUCUUGCUGUCACUUAUAGAUGGAUCCGCGCUGCAUUAGCUAGUUGGUAAGGUAACGGCUUACCAAGGCAACGAUGCAUAGCCGAACUGAGAGGGUGAUCGGCCACACUGGAACUGAGACACGGUCCAGACUCCUACGGGAGGCAGCAGUAGGGAAUCUUCCGCAAUGGGCGAAAGCCUGACGGAGCAACGCCGCGUGAGUGAUGAAGGUCUUCGGAUCGUAAAACUCUGUUAUUAGGGAAGAACAUAUGUGUAAGUAACUGUGCACAUCGUGACGGUACCUAAUCAGAAAGCAACGGCUAACUACGUG